GACACUGACAUUGCUAGAAUGGUUAGAGAAGCUUCCAAUCUCCCUCAAAGGCUUCCAAUAUUCCAGGCCAUGGAAAUGUUGGAGACCUUUGGAGGGGAUUGAAGGCUUACUCUCCCAUCAUUUAAUGCAAGCAUAGUUUC
rnacentral:pre_miRNA from 1 species